AGGUGUUUUUUAAUAUUUGUCCAGUAGGUUUCCUCAAGGAGAAAGCCCAC
ensembl:snRNA U7 U7 small nuclear RNA